GCGGUUCGGACGCCGGGCUCGGGGCGCGCGGACUCAGUGACUGUGAGGGCCGGCUGCCGACGGCGCCACGGCAUUUUGAAACAUCCUCAGUGCAAGAGUGGACCAGGGAAAACAAACAACCGAACCCCAAAAAGCAAUGUCUCCCAGGUGCUGGGGUCUCUGGGUCAGGAGAGGAUCCCAAGAAGACAGCUGGGAGCCUGUGCCUACCUGGGUUUGGUGCCCUCCUCAGCGGAGAAGCUCUCUCGGAAAGGCAGCACUCAGCAGAAGACACCAGGAGCGGUUUUUGAGAGGCCCCAGCCCGGCGGACUAAAGAAGGGAGCGAGUAUGUCCCCAGCACUGUCCCCACUGCUGCUGCUAAGUUGUUUCAGUCGUGUCCAACUCUGUGCAACCCCAUGGAUGGCAGCCCACCAAGCUCUUCCGUCCACAGGAUUCUCUAGGCAAGAAUACUGGAGUGGGUUGCCAUUUCCUUCUCCACAGCGCUGUCCCAGGACCUGGCAUCUAGCAGGGACUUAACAAGCAGCUGAGUGAAGGAAGGAGAUGCACAUGAAACAGCUGAGUGCCCCCUCCCGCCUCAGAGAUACCCAGCGACCUGGAAGCUGGCCUUCAGCAGACCCUGCCGCCACUCAGGUCUCAGACUCCCAGCC